rnacentral:lncRNA from 1 species
AAGCGUCGUUGGGGCAGGUCCUGGGGAGAGUUCAGGUUGGCGGGUCCUGGGGCGGGGCCAGGACAGGGCGAUCCUGGAAGCGGGGCUUCGGAAGCGUCCAGCGCCACCCGUCUGGGGCCCGAUAGGAGGGAGCUUUCUGUCUGUCCCCCAGCCUUUGGACUGUCACCAAACAAGCCAUCCGUUCACCAAAUACUUAUUAAGCGCCUACCAUGUGUCUGGCAAGGGAGGUGUAACAGUGAGAAAAACUAGGUGUGGUCCAGGCCCUCCAGGGGCUCAGGGGCUCGUGGAAGAAGUGGACAUUGAAGUACUUACCACACAAAUGAGCAUGAAAGUACAAUAGCAAUAUCUGCCACGAAGCUGUUGUUCCCCACCAGAACCAAAUGAGCGCAAGAUCUGACAAAGAAAAAAAAAGGUUCAUCUUUUAUUCCGCCAAACACUUUCAUCUAAAUCAAGAGGGUGGGAUGUGGUUAUUGCUGUGUUUUUAGACAGAAUCAACAGUUUCUGGGUCUGAGAUAUUGCAUACACCCUCUCAGUCCCUGUAUCCUCAGAUGGAGUCACCUGAGAAUCC